rnacentral:rRNA from 1 species
UACGUAGGGUGCAAGCGUUAAUCGGAAUUACUGGGCGUAAGCGUGCGCAGGCGGUUUUGUAAGUCUGUCGUGAAAUCCCCGGGCUCAACCUGGGAAUUGCGAUGGAGACUGCAAGGCUAGAAUCUGGCAGAGGGGGGUAGAAUUCCACGUGUAGCAGUGAAAUGCGUAGAGAUGUGGAGGAACACCGAUGGCGAAGGCAGCCCCCUGGGUCAAGAUUGACGCUCAUGCACGAA